AAAAAGGUAAUAAUAUUUCAUUUCAAAAUGAAAGAGCUUAAAGAACACGAUCAAAGCGAGAAAGGUAGCAUGAAAAACUUUCACUUAACUGAUUGUUCAAACCGGAUGCGGCGGAGCAGAUGUUCAAACCGGGGAUCAACUUCAAUCGCAAGAACCGAGCGCCCGGAAUUCCAUGCUGCUCGAACCAUGGAUCCGCAACCCGCAGUAGCAUCAACCACUGCUCCAUCCGGCGGGCAAAAGAGCUCUAACAUUACUUGCAUCGCAAACGGUGACCGGUAACGAUAUCCAGGAUACAGCUCGGCCCUCAACUCGUCAACCACAUUUGGUAUAACGUCCGUGCCGCUGUCGUAUCCAGGCAAAACUCUGGCAGCGCGAUCGCAAUCUCGUUUUCCCGUUCGCCCAGCUCGGCAAAGCGCGAAGUAAGUCCAGGCAAAUACCUGCAUUUUCAACUGUGAAAUCCACGAACUUAUCAACUUUUGUUGCUCUGUACCUUCAGCUUGUGACCAUCACCUUGCAAAGUCUCGAUGCCGAUGUUGUUCACGAGGCAGCCAGUCGCAAACUCCGCAAAUCGAAACGAUUUCGCCACAGUUGCAAGCUCUCCUGCCCAGGUCGAAGAUGGUGGAAGAAUGAAAAGAACCGUGCCGGAGUCUGUGAGCAGCUCGUUUGCCACCUCCAUGGCCUUGGAGAUAUGCUCGCUGGUGAGAACGUUCCAUGGAGAGAUUCUUCCAUCGAUCCAAGGGAGGCCGUCGGGCAUGUCGAAGAACACGAAGUCCACCAGAUUGCAAUGGAGGCCAUCGAAGAGCAUGAAGUAGCUCGCCAGAAUGGGAUCGUUUCCUCCUCUCAAAUCUCCGAUCCAGCGUCUAAAUGCUCGACUCUCGAAGGAAUGAGCUUCCAAGAGCUUCAUGUAAUCUCCUAUCAAGACGGUAAAUUUUGCGAGUGGGUUUUCACGAGAACUUGGAUGAACCUGGCACUCCAAGAAUGAAAAACAGAGGACAUAAACGAAGAACUAACCAUCCUGUGUGAAGUUUUAGAGAAGUGUAUGAAAGCUUGGGUUCUCUUGUUUACCUCCAAUCCUACUUAUCAAGGGAAUUAGAAAAUAAGAAAAUCUGUGUAAGUUACGUA
rnacentral:lncRNA from 1 species